CUUCAUUGGAGAGUUUGAUCCUGGCUCAGGACGAACGCUGGCGGCGUGCCUAAUACAUGCAAGUCGAGCGGAGGAAGCCGACGGAUCCCUUCGGGGUGACGU
rnacentral:rRNA from 1 species